rnacentral:rRNA from 1 species
GACGAACGCUGGCGGCGUGCUUAACACAUGCAAGUCGAACGGUGAAGCGCCUUCCUUUUUGGUGGGUGUGGAUGAGUGGCGAACGGGUGAGUAACACGUGAGUAACCUGCCCCCUUCUUCUGGAUAACCGCAUGAAAGUGUGGCUAAUACGGGAUAUUCUGGGUCUGUCGCAUGAUGGGUCUGGGAAAGAUUUUGUUUCGGUGGGGGAUGGGCUCGCGGCCUAUCAGCUUGUUGGUGGGGUGAUGGCCUACCAAGGCGGUGACGGGUAGCCGGCCUGAGAGGGUGAGCGAUAACACAGGGGCUGAAAGACGGCGCAGACUCCUACGGGAGGCAGCGGUGAAUAAUAUUGCACGAGGGGCGCAAGGCUGAUGCAGCGACGCCGCGUGGGAGAUGGAGGCCUUCGGGUUGAGAACCUCUGUCGCGAGAGAAGCAGGCCUGCCUCGUUUGUGGGUGGGUUGACGGUAGCUAAAGAAGAAGCGCCGGCUAACUACGCG